AUGGCUCCCAACGUAUUAGCGACUGAACCCGAGUAUCCUAAAGGCAUCUGUGCUACUGGGGCCGACUGGGGCUGGCAAAGGUACCCAGGCACCCAAAUUGGCUGAAAACUUCUGUAUCUGUCAUUUAGCCACUGGAGACAUGCUGAGGGCCAUGGUGGCUUCUUGCUCAGAGCGGAAAAAAAGCUUAAGGCAACUAUGGAUGCAGGGAAACUGGUGAGUGAUGAAAUGGUAGUGGAGCUCAUUGAGAAAAACUUGGAGACACCUUCAUGCAAAAAUGGCUUUCUUUUAGAUGGCUUCCCUCGGACUGUGAGGCAGUCUGAAAUGCUUGAUGACCUCAUGGAGAAGAGGGAAGAGAAGCUUGAUUCUGUGAUUGAGUUCUGCAUCCCAGAAUCUCUGCUGAUCCAGAGAAUCACUGGAAGGCUGAUUCACCCCAAAAGUGGCCGGUCCUACCACGAGGAGUUCAAGUCCCCAAAGGAACCUAUUAAAGAUGAUAUCACUGGGGAACCCCUGAUCCCUCGAUCAGAUGAUAAUGAGAAGGCCUUGAAGAUCCAUUUGGAGGAUUACCACACUCAGAACACACCACUUGUGGAAUACUACAGUAAACAGGGGAUCCACUCUGCCAUCCAUGCGUCCCAGACCCUUGAUGUUGUGUUUGCGAGCAUCCUAGCAGCCUUCUCCAAAGCCGCAUCUUAGUAACAGAAGGCCAG